AAAAAUAGCUGGAAAGUUCCCAAUCAUAACAAAAAUUAUAAAUCCAGUGACCCAAGGAGCUGAGGAAACCAAAGCGCAAGAAACAUGAAUAAAACCACUCCUAGAUACAUCAUAAUAACAUUGCUCAAAUCUGGCCAGAAGAAAAAGACAUUGUACAUACACAGGAGCAAAAAUGAGGAUUGCAUCAGCUUCCUUUCUGCUCUUGCCGGCCUCUACCAGGAGCAGCAAUGCACACGAGCAGACAGAGAAGCAACAUCUUUAAGGUACUGAGGGCAGGAGAAGUUAAUGUAGAAUACUAUGCCAGAAAAAAUAAAUUCCCAAAAGUGGAAGUGAAAUAAGGACAUUUAGAGAUGUACAAAAGCUGACCGAAUUCACUACCAGUCAACCCACACUACAAGAAACAUCAAAUGAGUCCUCCAAGCAGAAGGAAUCCAAUACCAGAUGAAAAUCCAGAUCUCCACGAGGAAAUGAAGAACACCAGAAAUGGAUCGGCCCUUUCUUCAAAUAAGAGCAGUUGGAAUAACAAAGCUGUUCAGUUGUACCCUUGGAAUCCACUGAAAUCCUGGGUAGGGAAGCUCCAGUACCACCAACUGGAAAGACUGGGAAUGCCUAAUAGCUGGUACUGGCCAUUGUCGUAGGCUUUGUCCACUCUGACAAACUGAAGAUGGGGACUCGACUCACCUUCGCCAGCCACAGGAGGACCUCCAGACGAGGACAGGACUCGCUGCCUUUCUUUCCCGUCAGAAAGGGAUCCCUUGCGGACAGGACCUAAGUGAGUAGCUGGUUUCCCCUACUUGUCCUUCCGGGCCUGGGUGUCUCGGGGGCUCAGGCUGACGGGAGACCUAACUACCGGCGAGUGAGACCAGCAGGAGCCUGGAGGGGCGCGCACCAGGGUGGAGGUUUGGUGCCGGGGGUUGAGAACAACAGUCAAACCCUCUUCUUCCCCUGGCACCACGCACCUGCCCCCCGGGAUGCCGAACGAAGUGGUCCCUAAAGCUCCUCUGCAGGCCCAACCGAAACAGGCCUGAAGCUCCAGGAUGGGCGAGAGGAUCCUCUUUGAGCGAAACCAGCCUUCUGCCUGGCUGGCCCUGGUCAACACCCUGGGAAGAGGCCGAUUUGGCGGACAGAACGGAAGAAAAGACCUAAAGGUAGAAUCUCAUGAUGUCGAGAUGUUAAAACACUCAAAUUUUAAGGUUCGACUGUGAGGGGGAGAUAGGGGGUCUCGAGCUGGAUCGACCCCUGAGCCUUCAUCUGCAGAGUCCUGUGCACCAGCUCAGAGGACAGGACUAUGUGCACCAAUGGUUCUCAUCAGGCGGCAACUUCACCCUCACAUGCCUCCCCCAUCCCUGCUGGUACACAAGACCACGACUAGGGGAAGCCCGGAGGGAGAAUGUUAACCCCUGGCAUCUAUCUAGUCAGCAGAGGUGAGGGAUGCUGCUAAACACCUUACAAUCCACCGGAGGACACCCGCCCCCACCGACCCCGAAGUAGCCAUUCCCUGGAGGUGGGGAAACUCGCCUGUAGAUCAAUGCCCACGCACUUGGCGGACAGGAAAUCACGAAUUGGCCACUAACUGGAUCUUGGAUCUGAGGAAAAAAUUCCAGCGUCAGAGGGAACUCUCGGAGAUUUGCCCAGAGCAUAAGGAACGUACUCCUUCCCUCAGUGAUGGAUCCUCACAUCUGGGGGAAAUCAUAGACAAUUUCUUUUGUAGGGCGAACUCUGCUAUACAGUUUAUGAUGUCAGAGUGAAUACUUUCUUUGAGUUGCAGUCAGAAACUGUAGAUUUUUAAAAAUUUAAAAUUCAUUAUUCUCUGUCAGUAUUCCAAAGUGUAUACAGAAAGCUAUUGCACUGUUCAGGAGAUGGCGCUUAACAUUUUGGAAAUUCAAGGUGAUGAAUGUCCAGAUAAGACUAUCUCUCCUGGUACAAAGUUUGACAAUGCUGAACACUUUUAAAGGUUCUUUUUGAUAUACAAAGUGCACCAAUGAGUGCUUUUUAAUUCUUACAAUAAUUCUGGGUGAGGUAGGUAUUUUUCCAAUUCCCAUUUUAUGCUUCGGUAGCCCUUUGUAUUUAUACUUCAAAACACUUGGCUCUCUUGUAAUUAUUUAAGAAAUUAGUUGUGAUUAUUUGUUUAAUGUGCAGGAGUUACAAAAGGCAAGCUUUAGAACAAGACAGACCUGGUUAUGAUUCCUGGCUCUGAAAGCUGUACACCCUGUGACCCUAGACAGGUGUUUUAAUGCCUCGCUGCCUCUGUUUCUUGCUCUGUAAAAUGUGAACAAUAACAGUAUUGGCCUCAUGCUUUUUUUGGGUUUUAAAAGUAAUAAUGUGGACAAAGAUCAGUGGAGUGCCUGGCAUGCUGAACCCAUUCCAUGACUGUUAGAUAUAGUUGUUAUGAUUUGUAUCAAUCCAUUUUCACACUGCUAUAAGGAACUACCUGAGACUGGGUAAUCUAUGAAGAAAAGAGGUUUAAUUGACUCACAGUUCUGCAUGGCUGGGAGUCCUCAGGAACUUACAAUCAUGGCAGAAGGGGAAGCAAGACAUUUCUUAUAUGGCAGCAGGACAGAAAGAGAGAGAGUGAAGGGGGAAGUGCCACACACUUCCAAACAACCAUAUCUUGUGGUUAAUUAAAAAGUACUCAUUGGUGUGCCUUGUAUAGAAAAAAAUAUACACUCACUAUCAUGAGAACAGCAAGGAGGGAGUCUGCCCCCAAGAUUCAAUCACCUCCCAGUAGACCCCUCCCCUGACAUGUGGGGAUUACAAUUCAAGAUGAGAUUUGGGUGGGGAAACAGAGUCAAACCAUAUCGUGAUUGUUCUAUAAUAAAGAGAUGCCCACAUGUGUUUCAUCAGGGACAGUGCUCAUUAACCAGUUGUCCUGCCGUAAUUAUUAAUAGUAUCCCCUUUGCUUUCAAAAGUGUCCUAGUUUACAAAAAGUAUAGAAAUGGAGGACAGAAUAGUGGUUGCCCAAGAUUGGAAAAGGGUAAGGGUAAAGGGUGCAGAGGUGGAUGUGGUUAUAAAAGGCAACAUGGGAGAUCCUCGUAGUGAAGGAACUGUUUAGUAUCUCCACUGUGGUGGUAGAUACCCGAACCUAAACAUGUGAAAAAUUGCAUGAAACUAAACACACACACAAACAAGUACAAGUUAAGUUAGGAAAAUCCAAAUAAGAUUUCUACAUUGUAUCAAUAGGUAUAUCUUGAUUAUGAUAUUGCAAGAUGGUACUAUUCAAGGAAACUGGGUAGAGGCUACAUGAGACUCCCCUGUAUUAUUUCCUAUAACUCCAUGUGAAUCUACAAGGAUCUCAGGAUUAAGGAAGAUAUCCUAGUUUGGAAGAUAAAAAAUAUAUCCCAGUAGUAAUAUCCACUGUCCCACCAGGGCCUGACUACCUUCUAUAAAAAGAAGUGCCUUUGUUCCCCUCAAGUUCCUUUAUUUGGUUUUAUUCUUCUUCACAGUACCUACCUCCACUUGGCAGAUUACAUUUAUUUUUUCAUCUUUCAACAGCUAUUUACUGAAUGCCUACUAGAUGCCAGGCUUGAGAUCUAGCAAUGAACAAGAUCUCUGUGAAACUUACAUUCCAGGAGGAGAAAUAAAUAAUAAACCAAAAAUAUAAUCAGUAAAUUAUUUAAUAUGCUGGGAAACAAUAUGUGUAAUGGAAGAAAUAUGUAAAGUGAUGGAUUAGGGUUCUCCAGAGAAACAGAACCAACAAUUGACUCAUGUGAUUAUGGAGGCUGAGAAGUCUCAAGAUCACAGUUGGCAAGCUUGAGACACAGGAGAGCCCAUGGUGUGUUUCUGAUUUGAGUCCAAAGGCCUGAGAACCAGGAGAGAUGAUGGUGUGAUUACAGUUCAAAAGCUGGCAGGCUUGAGGCCCAGGAAGAGCCAGUGUUGCAGUUCAAUUCCAAAGGCAGGAAAAGGCUGAUAUCUCAGCUGAAGCAAUCAGGCAGAAGGAGCUCUCUCUUACUCAUGGGCAGGUCAGACUUUUGGUUCUAUUCAGGCCUUUAAGUGAUUGGAUGAGGAUCAUCUACUGGGGAAAGAAAUAAGCUUUAUUCAGUGUACUGAUUCAAAUGUUAAUCUCAUCCAAAACCAUGCUCACAGACACACCCAGCAUAAUGUUUGACCAAGUAUCUGGGCACCUUGUGGUUCAGUCAAAUUAACACAUAUUAACUACCUUAGCAAGAUGAAAAGCAGUGAAUGCAGGAUGGUGGUUGAAAUUUUAAAUACGUUGGUUAUAUAGUCUCAUUGAAAAAGGAACAUUUGAGUGAAGACUUGAAGGGGUGGUGGAAUAAACCAUUUAUUUGCUUAUUGCCUGUCUCCCUCUAUCAGAAUGAAAGCUUCAUGAAGCGAGAGACUUAAUUUUUAUCUGUUAUAUCCCUAGUGCCUGGUGCAGGGUAAGUACUCAAAAAUAUUUGUUGAGUGAAUAAGUAAUGAUUGAGGAUGGGGACUGGUUUGUAUCUGGUUAUAUCUCUUGUCCUUAGCACAGUACCUGGCACAUCCUAAGCCAUCCAAAAGAGUUGGUUAUAUGAUUGUCUUUGAAUUCUAUGACUGUUUAUAAUAUACAGUAAACUUCACUGAAGACACUGACUCACUUGUUUUGUUUGAUAUUGUGGCCCCAGCACUGCAGCACUUAGAACAGUGCCUAGAAAAUACAUAAUAGUUAGUGAAAAAUUGUUAUUGACCAAAUGGGCACAGAUAAGGAGACUGAGGCUCAGAAAUGUUAAAUGAGUUGAAAAUAGUCUCACAGCCAGGAAGCAACAAAGCAUGGGGCCUAACUUUGUCUUUUUAAUUCUCAAAUUACAAUAUUUCAUCUAUAUCAAACUGCUUUAAAAAUUGUCCUGGGGUCUCUCGUUUGGCCAUGGCCUUUCUUUCACCUACACCAUCUCUCUUCCUUGUCCACUCCAGGCUGUGUUGUGUGGUCAUGUCUCCCUGAGUGACAAGCAGGCUGGUUAUGUGGAGUUGUCAGCACACAAGCCUCCCAGAGGAUGGCCUUCUCCUCCAGGUGCCACAGUGUCAGGGGACACUCUCUUCCAUUAGCACAAGCAGAAGGUAAUGCAACCUUUUGGUGGCCAUCGACUUUGUCAGACAAUAGUGCCGUUCAGUUUGAAAGACUCCACUGGGAAGUCGCAGACUUUUAAAACUAAUUUGGUGUUUAUUCAACUUUGCAAUCACUUCUAUGUACUAUCUGUGUUUCACACACCAUGAAACGGUGCUAUACUGUGCAAUUGAAUUAGUUGUACAGUGACUCAAAGGCAUUAAACAAUGACUUUGAUAUUUUAAGUACUGACUAGGAGGGAUUUUUAAUUCCUUCCUCAUAAUGAAAACAGCAAAAAAAAUCCAGUUACACAACCCUGGAACACUUACUCUCUUUUCUCUUCUGGGUGGACCCCAGUGAGACAGAAAAAACCUCCGAGCACUUAAUUUGCUUCAUGGCAGGAGAAAAAUUAAACAAGCAUAGACGUGCAACCUUAAUGACACCCAGCAACACUAGAAUAACAGUUCCCAGCUUCUAAAACCUGAUAUUUAGUAUAAUGGGUAAAUCUGGUGGGAGCUUUUCAGUGCUGCUGAGUUUGAAAAAACAGCUACUUUGUGAGGAGGGGUGGGGGUAGAGGCAGGGAGAGUGUCUUGCUUGUGCUCACUUGUUAGGAGGGUCUCAGUGCAGAAGCCAAGCCAGAGGGGUGCAGGCAAAAUACAGCACUGGCAGGAGAGUCCCUGAAGGCUGUGACCCUUCUGCAGACAACAGCAUCACUAUGCUAGGCACAAAUGUGUCAGUUCUGCCAGAAACAACAUGGGACUUUUCAUACAGUGCCUUUCUGGAGAUGGUACUGACAGAAAGGAAGAAGAGAGGGGGAAAAACAAUGCAACAAAAAACGAAAACCAUAGCAAGUGAAUUAGUACCAUGAAACUAUGAGCAUUAACUGGUUAUAGUUCAGGGCAAAGCACCUCAGUGAUGAUUCACAUCUGACAAUAAAUACAGGAAUAGCUGUUGAAAGCUAGUUUGAUUUUCACAAAGAGGUUUAAACAAACUUUCGUUUGUUCAUUAGUCUUAAGCAACACAUUUAUGGCAGGGGAUGCAUUAAACCUAACAUAUGUCUGUGACCAAGGUAUUUGGUGGUUUUAAAGAUGAAGACACAAAGCCGUGCAUAUAGUUUAUGCGGAGCGGCCUUGAACUACCCGUAAUGGAGUGAGAUACAGUUAUUAUGUAUUAAUGCUGUGAAUCUUCAUCCAGAGAGAGAAAACAAACAGGCGAGAAGGAAUGCAGCAUCUUUGAAGAUAAAGACUUAGAGGGCCCCAUUCUGCAAUUGGUAUUGAGUUUGCAUAAACUCAUUUUGUUGUUGUUGUUGCUGCAUAAUUUUUAAAAUGCAACUGGUUUAAAUCUGUUCCCUGAGGUAAUUUACGCUAAAGCAGCAUUCUAACACCAUAAAUUCCCUGCUUAUGGCAAUCUCUGGUUGGGUGUCAGGUCGGUGUAAGUUACUGAGCAAAUGGCUGCUUCAAAAUUUUUAGGGUAAUUGCCUCUAUAACUCGUUUAGCAUAGGCCUUGUCAGGAAAUCUCUAAUUGUAAUUGAUGCCUCUGCUUCCUUUUCUCCUCCUGCUUUUUAACCACAUUGUUGUACUAAAAGCUUCACUCUCCAGUGCAGAAGAGCAUGGGGCUUUUCAUCUUCUGUAGCACUCGGAUUUUGUUAUUAUUAAAGCCUUCCCUCAUGAAAACGUGAUGUCACCCCCGAUGGGGUCCAGAAGGUGGUGGUUGGUUGGGUGUACCUCUGCCCCAGCCCAAUCUCUACCCUUGCCUAGGAAACCUUCAGUACAGAGAAGGUAGAUCUUGAUGGGGUUGAGAUAAAAUGAAGAGCAAGUUACCACUACUCCAAUUCUAAGUUUUGUAUGAAUGCUGGGUUGGCUGUUGAUUUCUACCAGAAUGGUGUGAGCAAAGUCAACAGCAUAUUUUUCUCUCUUCUCUCAUCUCAUGUGUAUGGGCAUGAUGCCUUGGUAGGAAGGGUAUCAUUGGAAUUGUAUAUUACAAUAUUCAUGGCCAGGAGCUUCUGUUGAUUUGUGUCUACAUACGGGGAUUUUUCAUGAAAUUGCAUAAAGCAUGUAAAGAAUCAACUCCAAAAUCCAAUUUGUUAAUUAUCUUGCUUAAAAUAUACUUCAAUUAUAUCACAUUUGACAUCGUAUGUCAUUGAUAGUAGACGGAAAUAACACUUAAAAUCAAUAAGUGUUUUUAAUUUAUUUUACUUAUUAUGCUUGUCAUAAUAUUUUGACAUGGAGUGCUGACAUGUCAACGAUGCUGUUAUCAGGAGGUAAGGCAAUGGCAUUAAACUGUCUCACCAUCUGUGCUACUGUUUCAGCAUAAAGUGGGCCCAUGGGGAAAAUAUAGCUAAAAUCUCCAAUGAAGUGUCUGCUUAUGAAGUAAAUACAGGUCAUCACUGAAUAAAGCAGCCUGAGCUCAAAACAAAACCUGAGGGAAAAAAAUCCACACUCUAAUCUAUUAUCUUUUCUCCCAAAGGAUUCAACAAUAAGAGCACUAAAAAUAUGCGAGUGCUGUCUGUGUGCCAGACUUGUGAAAAGUGUUCCACAUAUUUUAUCUCAUCUCCUCUAAGAGGUGAGGUACUUGCACAUGGCAAAACCCAGCUCUGAAUGAAAGUCUGUGUGAUUCCAUGCCUGGAUCUAUUCUCAGAAACCAAAGCCAUCACUAUUCUAUAUGGUUUGGAUAGAAAAUGGAUUCUGACUUCUGGAUCCUCUCCUGGCUAUUACAAUCCACAUCGCAGGGGGGUGAGGCACCCCCCGCGAUAUGGGGAGUCAUAGCAACCCCCUCUCCCCCCCUGGCUGUCACAAUCCACAUCGCAGGUGUGUGAGGCAACCCCUGCGAUAUGGGGAGUAAUAGGAACCCCCUCCACCUGCCCCGGCUAUCACGAUCCACAUCUCAGGGGGGUGAGGCACCCCCCGCAAUAAGGGGAGUAAUAGCAACGAUCUCUCCACCCCUAGCUAUUACGAUCCACGGUGGACUCAUAGCCUGUUUACGAUAUUGUCUUUUCUUCCGUUCUGUCCUCCAAAUCGGCCUCUUCCGAGUGUGUUGACCAGGGCCAGCCAGGCAGAAGGCUGGUUUCGCUCAAAGAGGAUCCUCUCGCCCAUCCUGGAACUUCAGGCCUGUUUCGGUUGGACCUGCAGAGAAGCCUUAGGGGCCACUUCGUUCGGCAUCCCAGGGGGCAGGUGCGCGGUACAGGGAAGAAGAGGGUUUGACUGUUGUUCUCAACCCCCGGCACCAAACCUCCACCCUGGUGCGCGCCCCUCCAGGCUCCUGCUGGUCUCAGUCGCCGGUAGUUAGGUCUCCUGUCAGCCUGAGCUCCCGAGACACCCAGCCCCGGAAGGACACGUAGGGGAAACCAGCUACUCACUUCGGUCUUGUCCGCAAGGGAUCCCUUUCUGACGGGAAAGAAAGGCGGCGAGUCCGGUCCUGUUGAGUAAGCGGAAGAGAGAUCAAGGGGAAGAGAAGAAAAAUCCUGUGAGGUUUCAAGAUCUAAAGUUACCAUGAAGUCGACCUAACCUCGUCUGGAGGUCCUCCUGUGGCUGGCGAAGGUGAGUCGAGUCCCCGUCUUCAGUUUGUCAAAGUGGACAAAGCCUACGACAAUGGCCAGUACCAGCUACUAGGCAUUCCCAGUCUUUCCAGUUGGUGGUACUGGAGCUUCCCUACCCAGGAUUUCCGUGGAUUCCAAGGGUACAACUGAACAGCUUUUGUUGUUCCAACUGCUCUUAUUUGAAGAAAGGGCCGAUCUGUUGAGAAGUACAUAGGAAAACCACUUUGGUAAGAGUAGUAUAGCAACUGUUGUUGAGACUGUCACAUUCCCCCCACCUCCUCCUCCCUCCUCCUAGAAAUGUUCAAUGAAAAUUAAUCCCCACGACGGGCCUGUUGUACUUUCAAUGUACAAUUGGCAGAACCUAAGGGAACUCUAGGAGGUUCCGGGAUGAAUAUGGGAAGUAUGACACAGUCAUUUUUAUUUACACAUGCAUUCCAAAAACACAUUGAAUAAACACAUCCAGUUCACCUGUGCCACACUUACAAAGAUGGGAAAAGAGGAACUACAUACAAACAAGUGAAGAUGUAAUUGAAUGGCUUUUAAAUAUCUGCUGAAGGUUUCCACUGAAGGUCUUCUACCAGUGUCUUCUCUUUCUCUAAAAUAAGACAUUCAAGUGCCAGACCCUGAAAUAAGUUUUCUGGUUCCAGCUUGUUCUUUCCCAUUCUGUAUCUUUGCCCCUCCACUCUCUUCUUACAUAUGCAGGAAAGGUCAGCUCUCCCUCAGUUUCUAAUUUGCAACAUCCCACAUGAAGAAUGCAAUGACCAGCAUCAAAAAUUAGACACCCUCCAUGGGACUCCAUCUCUGUCUUAGUUGGAGCUAAUGUACCAUAAACUGGGUAGCUGAUCCACAACAGACAUUUCUCACAGUUCUGGAGUUUGGAAGUCUAAGGUCAAGGUGCCAGCAUGGUAGGGUUAUGGUGAGGAACCUCUUCCUGGUCAUAGACUGCCAUCUUCCUACUGUAUCUGCAGGGGGCUGAAAGAGGCUGAGAGAGCUCUCUAGUGUCCCUUUUAUAGGGGCACUAAUCCCACUCAGGAGGACUCCACCCUCUGGAUCUAAUUACCUCCCAAAGGCCCCUCCUCCUAAUUUUAACACUUUCCAGGGGUGGACAGGGGAAGGUUAGGGUUUCAACCAAGGCAUUUUGGGGGGACACAAAUAUUAGGUCUCCUGUGAUCUUUCAAGAAGAAGAAGAAAUUAUAAAUGACCCAAAGCUUUGUACAUUUCACAGUUAGAAAUAAAGAAAACUUUUCCUAAGA
rnacentral:lncRNA from 1 species